rnacentral:rRNA from 1 species
GACGAACGCUGGCGGCGUGCUUAACACAUGCAAGUCGAACGGUAAGGCCCUUCGGGGUACACGAGUGGCGAACGGGUGAGUAACACGUGGGUGAUCUGCCCUGCACUUCGGGAUAAGCCUGGGAAACUGGGUCUAAUACCGGAUAGGACCACUGCCUGCAUGGGUGGUGGUGGAAAGCUUUUGCGGUGUGGGAUGGGCCCGCGGCCUAUCAGCUUGUUGGUGGGGUGAUGGCCUACCAAGGCGACGACGGGUAGCCGGCCUGGGAGGGUGACCGGCCAGCCUGGGACUGAGAUACGGCCCAGACUCCUACGGGAGGCAGCAGUGGGGAAUAUUGCACAAUGGGCGCAAGCCUGACGCAGCAACGCCGCGUGCGGGAUGACGGCCUUCGGGUUGUAAACCGCUUUCAGCAGGGAAGAAGCCGCAAGGUGACGGUACCUGCAGAAGAAGCACCGGCUAACUACGUGCCAGCAGCCGCCGUAA